rnacentral:rRNA from 1 species
AACGAACGCUGGCGGCAGGCCUAACACAUGCAAGUCGAGCGCCCCGCAAGGGGAGCGGCGGACGGGUGAGUAACGCGUGGGAACGUGCCCUUUGCUACGGAGUAGCCCCGGGAAACUGGGAGCAAUACCGUAUGAGCCCUACGGGGGAAAGAUUUAUCGGCAAAGGAUCGGCCCGCGUUGGAUUAGGUAGUUGGUGGGGUAAUGGCCUACCAAGCCGACGAUCCAUAGCUGGUUUGAGAGGAUGAUCAGCCACACUGGGACUGAGACACGGCCCAGACUCCUACGGGAGGCAGCAGUGGGGAAUCUUAGACAAUGGGCGCAAGCCUGAUCUAGCCAUGCCGCGUGAGCGAUGAAGGCCUUAGGGUUGUAAAGCUCUUUCGUGGGGGAAGAUAAUGACUGUACCCCAAGAAGAAGCCCCGGCUAACUCCGUGCCAGCCGCCGCGGUAACAC